rnacentral:rRNA from 1 species
UACGUAGGGGGCAAGCGUUAUCCGGAUUUACUGGGUGUAAAGGGGGCGCAGACGGCGAUGCAAGCCAGGAGUGAAAGCCCGGGGCCCAACCCCGGGACUGCUCUUGGAACUGCGUGGCUGGAGUGCAGGAGGGGCAGGCGGAAUUCCUGGUGUAGCGGUGAAAUGCGUAGAUAUCAGGAGGAACACCGGUGGCGAAGGCGGCCUGCUGGACUGCAACUGACGUUGAGGCUCGAAAGCGUGGGGAGCGAACAGG